UCAGGACGAACGCUGGCGGCGUGCUUCAUACAUACAAGUCGAACGAUAAGGUUCCUUCGGGAAUACAUAAGUGGCGGACGGGUGAGUAAUGUGUAGAGAAUCUGCCCUAGAGUGGGGGACAACAGUUGGAAACGACUGCUAAUACCGCAUAUGCGCGUAGCUGGAAUGCUAUUCGUGAAAACUCCGGUGCUCUGGGAUGAGUCUGCAUCUGAUUAGCUAGUUGGGGGUGUAAUGGACCACCAAGGCGACGAUCAGUAGCUGGUUUGAGAGGAUGAUCAGCCACAAUGGGACUGAGACACGGCCCAUACUCCUACGGGAGGCAGCAGUAGGGAAUUUUGCGCAAUGGGGGAAACCCUGACGCCAGCAACGCCGCGUGAUUGAAUAAGCCCUUCGGGGUGUAAAGAUCUGUCAGUGGGGACGAAACUUGACGGUACCCACAGAGGAAGCAUCGGCUAACUCCGUGCCAGCCGCGGC
rnacentral:rRNA from 1 species